rnacentral:rRNA from 1 species
UGGGGAAUUUUGGACAAUGGGCGAAAGCCUGAUCCAGCAAUGCCGCGUGUGUGAAGAAGGCCUUCGGGUUGUAAAGCACUUUUGUCCGGAAAGAAAUCCUUGGCUCUAAUACAGUCGGGGGAUGACGGUACCGGAAGAAUAAGCACCGGCUAACUACGUGCCAGCAGCCGCGGUAAUACGUAGGGUGCAAGCGUUAAUCGGAAUUACUGGGCGUAAGCGUGCGCAGGCGGUUUGCUAAGACCGAUGUGAAAUCCCCGGGCUCAACCUGGGAACUGCAUUGGUGACUGGCAGGCUAGAGUAUGGCAGAGGGGGGUAGAAUUCCACGUGUAGCAGUGAAAUGCGUAGAGAUGUGGAGGAAUACCGAUGGCGAAGGCAGCCCCCUGGGCCAAUACUGACGCUCAUGCACGAAAGCGUGGGGAGCAAAGCAGGAUUAGAUACCCUGGUAGUCCACGCCCUAAACGAUGUCAACUAGUUGUUGGGGAUUCAUUCCUUAGUAACGUAGCUAACGCGUGAAGUUGACCGCCUGGGGAGUACGGUCGCAAGAUUAAAACUUAAAGGAAUUGACGGGGUCAUAGCUGUUUCCU